AAGCAGAUUUAUUACCAAUUCACUCUUUCACACAUAACUUGCAUGCAUGUUAUUUAAACAUGCAUAUCACAAAUCAAUCAUCACAUACCUAUAACUUCACUUAAGCAUAAUCUCCAUUUCAUCAUUUUAAUGCACAAACAUUACUCAAUAUUGUCCAAGUUCACAUUCGGCCAUAAUACACACAACAUGUUAGCCGAUUUUCCCCCUUAGCAUCUAAGGCACAUGCAUGCUCAUUUGCUUGGCUCAACUUCACCUAUCUUCCAUUUUUCAUCAAAAUAACAUGGAAAAACAACCAUUUCC
rnacentral:lncRNA from 1 species